CACUUCCCCAGUGCUGGGAGGCCUGGGCAAAUCUGGAUCAGGUCUGUUUAGUUCUGUCUGCUCCCGUCCAGCAGACCAGAGCUUCCGGGGAGGACGGGACCAGAGACCCCUGACCCAUUCUCAGCCCCCGCCCGCCUACCCGACUCGCCUCAUCUUGCUUCCCGGGACUCCAGGUUCAGAGAGGUUGAACCAUUUUCGAAAGUCACAGGACCGAUAAAGCCAGGACAGGGUCUGAGCCCUGGGUUUCUGGUUUCUUGCCGUGUCCAGGGCUGCUCAGUCCCAAAGCCCUUCCUGGAAGGAGACAGCCAGCAUUGGGGAGAGCUGGCCUGGGAAGCAGUCCUCUGGCCCUGGUCAACCGUCAGCUCCCAAUCUGGCUCUGUCUGUUCGGAACACCAGGAUUUCCAGGUUGGGGCCACUUCUCUGUUCCCACCAGAACCUGCACCACCAAUGCCACCACCAUCCAUAACAUGAGCCUUGGGACCAUGAAGACCCCUGACUCAGGCCUGGGUGCAGCCCUGAGGUUGGGACUCUCUCCCUAACUGCCACUCUACCCUGUGCCUGCGAUUCAGGAUCCUAGUUUGCCAAGGAGAGAUGCUGACCAUGUCCUGUAAGCAACCCAGGCUCCAUCGUCCUGUUUCCAGCAGGGAGCUUCAGCCCCUGGGACCAGCCCUAGAUGGUCCUGUCUACCUGCCCAGGACUGUGUGGACAGACACAGGCAGCCAAGGAUCUAGGGCUGCAGUCCUACGCCUGCCAGGUUCCAAUGGAGCAAAGAGGGCUGGGUAUCUUGCCUGUCAUCUAGUCCAGUUCAGGAAUCUGUAGUCUCUGGGGCCAGAGCCCACUGGUGGCCAUGAAAACAUAGGAGAUAUGGUAGGCAGAGACCGUGAAUGAAAGCCCUAAAGAAAUUGGGUCUAAAUCCCUGGAAUCUCUAAAUGUUACUAUAGGGGGUUGAAUCGUGUCUCCCCCAAAAGACAUGCUCAAGUCUUA
rnacentral:lncRNA from 1 species